rnacentral:tRNA from 2 species
GCGCCCGUAGCUCAGCGGAUUAGAGCACUGGUCUUCGGAACCAGGUGUCGGGGGUUCGAAUCCCUCCGGGCGUA